UGGGGAAUUUUGGACAAUGGGCGCAAGCCUGAUCCAGCCAUGCCGCGUGCGGGAAGAAGGCCUUCGGGUUGUAAACCGCUUUUGUCAGGGAAGAAAUCCUUUGAGCUAAUACCUCGGGGGGAUGACGGUACCUGAAGAAUAAGCACCGGCUAACUACGUGCCAGCAGCCGCGGUAAUACGUAGGGUGCGAGCGUUAAUCGGAAUUACUGGGCGUAAAGCGUGCGCAGGCGGUCUUGCAAGACAGGUGUGAAAUCCCCGGGCUUAACCUGGGAACUGCACUUGUGACUGCAAGGCUGGAGUACGGUAGAGGGGGAUGGAAUUCCGCGUGUAGCAGUGAAAUGCGUAGAUAUGCGGAGGAACACCGAUGGCGAAGGCAAUCCCCUGGACCUGUACUGACGCUCAUGCACGAAAGCGUGGGGAGCAAACAGG
rnacentral:rRNA from 1 species